AACGAACGCUGGCGGCAGGCUUAACACAUGCAAGUCGAGCGCCCCGCAAGGGGAGCGGCAGACGGGUGAGUAACGCGUGGGAAUCUACCCAUCUCUACGGAAUAACGCAUGGAAACGUGUGCUAAUACCGUAUACGUCCUUCGGGAGAACGAUUUAUCGGAGAUGGAUGAGCCCGCGUUGGAUUAGCUAGUUGGUGGGGUAAAGGCCUACCAAGGCGACGAUCCAUAGCUGGUCUGAGAGGAUGAUCAGCCACACUGGGACUGGGACACGGCCCAGACUCCUACGGGAGGCAGCAGUGGGGAAUAUUGGAUAAUGGGCGCAAGCCUGAUCCAGCCAUGCCGCGUGAGUGAUGAAGGCCCUAGGGUUGUAAAGCUCUUUCACCGGUGAAGAUAAUGACGGUAACCGGAGAAGAAGCCCCGGCUAACUUCGUGCCAGCCGCCGCCGUAAAAC
rnacentral:rRNA from 1 species